GGGGCGAUUGCGCGCCCAAAUAGCUGGCCCAGGGUGCUUUGGCCGCCGGAGCGGGUUGCGAGUACACUUGAGGCCUGGUGCCUUCCAGUUUUUAAGUUUUAAAUGUUUAUAAUCGAAAAUUGCAGCUAGGCGCAGUGGCUCACACCUGUAAUCCCAGCACUUUGGGAGGCCGAGGCAGACGGAUCACUUGAGAUUUGAUUUUUCCAAUUGCUUUCAAGUAUGGCAGCUUGCCUUCACCUUGAGUACCUAAUCCAGGAACUUGGUCUUCCACCUGCACCAUCUCUAAUCUGUGAAGCUGGAAGGCACAGUGGCUCACACCUGUAAUCCCAGCACCGUGGAAGGUCGAAGCAGGAGUAUUGCUUGAGCCCAGGAGUUCAAGACAGCCUGGAUAACAGUAAGACCCUGUCUCUACAAAAAUAUAAACAAAAUUAGUCAGGUGUGGUGGAGCACAUCUGUGGUCACAGCUGCUCAGGAAGCUGAGGUGAGAGGACUGCUUGAGCCUGUGAGGUUGACGCUGCAGUCAGCUGAGAUCACGCCACUGCUCUCCAGCCUGGGGCAACAGAGUGAGAUCGUCUCAAAAGAAACAAACAAACAAAAA
rnacentral:lncRNA from 1 species